AACGCACCUUGCGCUCCUUGGUAUUCCGAGGAGCAUGCCUGUUUGAGUGUCGUGAAAUCAUCAACUCCCUUAGCUUUGUUGCGACGGUGAGCUUGGACUUGGGGAUUUGCUGGCCUUUGGGUUCUGGCUUCCCUUGAAUGCAUUAGCUGGACGUUGAUUUGCAGCAUAUAUGCGGUGUGAUAAUUAUCUACGCUGUGGCUUGCUUGGAUCUUAUAAAUGUCAUGCUUCAAACUGUCUGCAUUAGUGGACAAUUUAUUUGACAAUCUGACCUCAAAUCAGGUAGGACUACCCGCUGAACUUAA
rnacentral:rRNA from 1 species